rnacentral:misc_RNA from 1 species
UCCGGCUUGUCGCCGGCGGUCUCCUUAGAGUUCCCACCCGAAGUGCUGGCAACUAAGGACAAGGGUUGCGCUCGUUGCGGGACUUAACCCAACAUCUCACGACACGAGCUGACGACAGCCAUGCAGCACCUGUCUCACGGUUCCCGAAGGCACCAAUCCAUCUCUGGAAAGUUCCGUGGAUGUCAAGGCCAGGUAAGGUUCUGCGCGUUGCAUCGAAUUAAACCACAUACUCCACCGCUUGUGCGGGCCCCCGUCAAUUCCUUUGAGUUUCAGUCUUGCGACCGUACUCCCCAGGCGGCGAACUUAACGCGUUAGCUUCGAUACUGAGCUCCGAAGUGAGCCCAACAUCCAGUUCGCAUCGUUUAGGGCGUGGACUAC